GCGCAUACAUAAAGAUGAGUUCUUACAUAUACUUAAGAAUAAAAGGAAUUUCUGUGAUAAAGCGAAUGAAAUUGGUGAAGCCGAUUUUCAACAUCGAACAGUUUGAAAAAAUUCUUCGUUGAGGAUAGAUCGCUAUUUUUUAGUAAGAGUAAAGUAAAAUCGAACGAGUUAUUUGACAUCGAACCUCAGUAAACUUAAUACUAUAUAAAUCUCUUGUUUCGAAACAAGCAACAGCAAAUCGAUCAAAAUGUUUAAAAGCCAUUUGGAAAUGAUUGGUCGCAAUGAGACCCCCAGCAAGAAGGCGAAAUUCUGGCAAUCUUACAUCAGAUCCUUGAAGGGAUCCGAAGAUAUUCGUGCCCAUGAGGCUCCACGCGCCAGCCGUCCAUACAGCUCAUACUUGGACUCGCCAUCCACAUACAGGAGCAUCUUCGAUGAGCCCGCCACUGCCAACGAGCGUGUGCAAUCGCAUGGCUACAGAUACUUGCCAGUGAGCAGAGACACCUAUGGCUACUCGCCACGUGCCAUCUAUGAUCAUCAUUACAGCAGAACAAUUCCAGCCAACUACGACGCAGAGAAGGCAUGGAAUGAUCAUUUGAAGCGCAUGCAAGAAAUCGAACGCAGAUACCCAUCUCGUUAUGGUCUCUACUUAAAGGACAAGCCAUACACACCCAACGCUUUGGUGCCUUUGGAAUAUGAGCCAGAAGAUAAGCUGCUCCAAGAACUCAACAAGGCGCGCCGAUCACCAUCACCACUUCCAGGCCGUUACACUCGUGCCGGCAGUGAACCCUAUGUACCACCACCAACAUACUGGAGCCGCGCACCCAGCGUAGCUCGUGCUCCAUCUGCUUUUGAUCGCGCACGCAGCUUGGCCCCAGCAUUGUUGGAUCGUGCACGCAGCUUGGCACCCAGGCCAUUGUACCGUGCCAGCUCGUUGGAACCAUUGGAUGAACUCUUUGAUAGUAAGUUAGCUGACAAACCUUUUGAGCGUGCCGGCUCACCAAGUCCCACUCCCGUUAAGGCUGGCCGCUGGGGACCACGCCCCAAUGAAGUCUCCUAUGAUGCUAAUGGACUUCCCAUCUUCCACCCACGCAAUCGCUUCAGGGAUUUGUUGAACCCCAAUCCAUAUGCACCCAUCUCAGCAUUCACACGCGAUCCCUUCUGGUGGGAUGUCGAUGAUUUGGCGCCCUUCCGUGCCCUCUCCGUGCCACGGGCUUCCAGCCCCAUUGCACGGGACUCGUUCUUGUCGCCGGUGAAGAAUCGUUACUUGUGGUCCAGACAUCCAGCUAGACCAUUGACCCCCAGCCUUUAAGCCAAACAAAUUGUUAAUGAAAUACAAAUGCAAUUACUCGUACAUUGUUAUAGGAAUUGCACACCGUACGAUUUUGUAAACACGACGACAAUUUGAAUAAAAAUAUGCGAGCUUUUUUCGUCUACACGAAAUAAGCAAAACGAAUAAUGAAACGAGGGCCAACUAAGGAAGAAAUCGAAAAUAUACUAAAUUAGUCGACCUUAUCCAAUAAAACGAAAAUUUUUUCAACGCAUAAAAAUAAGAACAACAACUACACGAAAACACUGAUAUAAACACCCAGAAAACCAACAACAAGAUUAGAAUAAAAAAAAAAAUAAAACGCUUUAAAACAAGAACUUCAGUGUAUUAAAAAAAGUAGCAAUCAUAAUGGGUGUAUAACAGCAAUGGAAUAAUAAUAACAAUAACAACAAAAUUGUUUAUUAAAAUAUUUACGAUUCGGUUGAUUAACUUACAAAAUUUUGUAUUUUGUAUAGAAAAUGUAUUUAUUUCAAUUUUUGUGCUGCCAAUGACGACAACUAUGGAACUUAAUAUAAAUAUAUGAGAAACGAAAUAAACGUAUAAGAAAAACAAAAAUAUAUUGCGAAAUAUAAUAAAUAAAAUAAAAAAAAUAAUAAUUAAAUAAAACAAAAAGACCUGAGUGCAUAUUUCCCGAACUUUGUUUUUGCUAACUACUAGCGAAAACCGAAUUACUUUUCAAUUUUUAUUCAUAAUAAUAACUUCUCGAUUAGUAUUGCAAGCAUUAUGUGUAAAAAAAUGAUUUACAUUUAUUGUUAGAGAGAUAUAGAGAGCACGCUCUCGCAAAAGAGCGCGCUGUUGUUUAAUGUUUUAAGAUUACUGAGCUCAUUCGACUCCGUGGUCUUAUUAGGUUUAGGCGUUGUCUAAGAAGAAUUGUUCCUUUUUUGUAUACUUGUGUAAGUUUUAUUUAAAUGUUAAGUUUGGAUAAAUAAAACAAAAACAAAAACACGCUGUAAAAUAUAUUUAUGUUUAAACACAAAAAGUAAAUGAAAUAAAUGUGCACACAAACACAUUCACAACUGUGUGUGUGUCAACGAA